rnacentral:sRNA from 1 species
GCCGGGCAUGGUGGUGCACGCCUGUAAUUCCAGUGACUCAGAAGGCUGGGGCAUGUGGAUCACAAGUUUGAGAAUAACCUCAGCAACUUAAUAAGAACCUGUCUUAA